rnacentral:rRNA from 1 species
CAGUAGCCACGGUAAUACAGAGGGUGCUAGCGUUAAUCGGAUUUACUGGGCGUAAAGCGUGCGUAGGCGGCUUCUUAAGUCGGAUGUGAAAUCCCUGAGCUUAACUUAGGAAUUGCAUUCGAUACUGGGAAGCUAGAGUAUGGGAGAGGAUGGUAGAAUUCCAGGUGUAGCGGUGAAAUGCGUAGAGAUCUGGAGGAAUACCGAUGGCGAAGGCAGCCAUCUGGACUAAUACUGACGCUGAGGUACGAAAGCAUGGGGAGCAAACAGGAUUAGAUACCCCGGUAGUCCCUGUCUCUUAUAA